rnacentral:lncRNA from 10 species
AAAAUUUUAAAUGCUUGGUAACUGCUAAACAAUUAAAGCUGCAUUAGAGUCCAGACCAGAGCUUAAUGUAGGAGAAACAACAAUUGAUCCCAGGCCCUGGUACUUCUGAGUUGUCUCUUCUGCCUGAGCUCAUCAAGGAGUUAAUUCUAGGGAGAAUGGAGCCCUGGACAAAAGUGCUCACCAGGAUGCAGAACUGAGAGAAACUGAAGCAGCGGAGAAAAUUGAGGUCUAAGAAGCAGACUGAAAUAACCAUGGAAGAAACCUGCUGGAGAUUGGAUAGGGAGGCCAAGACUUGUCCCCAGAGCACCUUGGAGUCCUCCCCCAGCCUCCAUCCACCCCAGCCCUCCUGGUUUCUGGGAGUCCAUGCAUCCUUGCAGGAACAGAAACCUGACACUUGAGUGGCCAGCCUGGGUGGUGGGGCCACUAUGCUUCCUCUGGUGAUUCUCUCUAAGAGAAAGAGCAAGCAUGACCUUUCAUCACAUCUUCUCUUGGAUGCAUUCAAGAUACAGCCACCAGCAGAGCCCCAGGUACUUUGGCAGGAGGUGAAAAAUGUCUUACAACUUCCGGAAACGGCAGUCCAGAUCAGAUCACUGUGUGACUGGCUAACCGUGUAGUGGGGAUACUCAGACAAUCUUGUGAGUCUUCAUGGCCUCAGCCAGUUUUGCUUUGGGAGCUGUGGCUUGGUAUCUAUCACCGCGAGCGAGCUCAUUCAGCCAACCAACCUUCAUGGAAGGAAUCAAGUCAAGAUGUACAACCAAGCACGUGUGCCUGCCCAUCCCUCCUGCCCUGAAGACACGGCACAAAAGAAACAUUUAUCUACAGACAGGAUAACUGUGCACUUUGUUUACAAAUCAGGACUCUAGUGAGAGAGAAAGGGACUGCCGUUGAUAAGUACAAUAGGACAAGACUGGGACCCAUGGCCACCCUAUCUACACCCUGUUUUCAAAGCUGAUAAACAAGAAGGGUGCCCUUCAUAUUGAAAUUAUCAAGACAUUCCAAAAGCUAGAAAAAUCCAUAGAAAUGGAAUGUUCGCUUUAUUACAUGCAUAACAAUUAUUGCUGUGUAAAAAAUUAUUCCCCAAAGUAAUGGGUCAAAACAACAAAUACUCAUUAUCUCAGGGGGUUUCUGUGUGUCAGGAAUUUGGGAGCAGCUUAGCUGAAUGGUUCUGCCCUGGGGUCUUCUCAUAAGGCUGCUGUCAUCUGAAAAUGACGGGCUGAAUGAUCCACUUGCAACGUAGCUAACUCACAUGGCUAUUGGCAGGAAACCUCAUUCCCCACCUCAGCUCUACUCCACUGGUCUGCUUGAGGCUCCUCACGACAUGGCAGCUGGUUGCCUCCAGAGCGAGCAACCUGAGUCAAGGAGGAAGCUGAAAUGCCUUUCAUGAUUUGGCCUCAGAACUUACACACUGCUCACUUAGGCUGCGUUUUGUUAGAAUGAGUCACUAAUUCACAAUUGUAAAGAUAUGGAACCAAUCUAAAUGCCCAUUAACCAAUGAGUGCAUAAAGAAAAUGUGGUAUAUAUGCACUAUGGAAUACUACUCAGCCAUAAAAAAGAAUAAAAUCAUGUAUUUUGCAGCAACUUGGAUGGAGCUGGAGGCCAUUAUUCUAAGUAACUCAAGACUGGAAAACCAUAUGCCAUAUGUUCUUACUUAUAAGUAGGAGCUAAGCUAUGAGUGUGCAAAGGCACACAGAGUGGUAUAAUGGUCUAUGGAGACUCAGAAGGGGAAGGAUGGGAGGGGCAUCAGGGAUAACAUAUACUACUUGGG